UGUGUAGGCGGUUCUCUAAGUUCGGUGUGAAAUCUCCUGGCUUAACCGGGAGGGUGCGCCGAAAACUGGAGGGCUUGAGUAUGGGAGAGGAAAGCGGAAUUCCUGGUGUAGCGGUGAAAUGCGUAGAUAUCAGGAGGAACACCUGCGGUGUAGACAGCUUUCUGGACCAUCACUGACGCUGAGACACGAAAGCGUGAGUAGCAAACAGGAUUAGAUACCCUGGUAGUCCACGCCCUAAACGAUGCAUACUUGGUGUGAGCCGUUCAUUCGGUUCGUGCCGGAGCUAACGCGUUAAGUAUGCCGCCUGGGGAGUACGGUCGCAAGGCUGAA
rnacentral:rRNA from 1 species